rnacentral:rRNA from 1 species
UACGGAGGGUGCGAGCGUUGUCCGGAAUCAUUGGGCGUAAAGCGCGUGUAGGCGGCCCGGUAAGUCCGCUGUGAAAGUCGGGGGCUCAACCCUCGAAUGCCGGUGGAUACUGUCGGGCUAGAGUGCGGAAGAGGCGAGUGGAAUUCCUGGUGUAGCGGUGAAAUGCGCAGAUAUCAGGAGGAACACCUAUUGCGAAGGCAGCUCGCUGGGACGUUACUGACGCUGAGACGCGAAAGCGUGGGGAGCAAACAGG